rnacentral:lncRNA from 1 species
CAAUGUUGUAACGGGUGCAACGGCUGUAAGAUUCGUUGUCCCCCUACCAAGCGACCGUUUAUCAUCGGUACAUGGAAAAAAGGAAAGGAAAGAGUUUGCUGUAAUGAAAGAAAUGAAUCCCAUUCAACGCUACGAGUAGGGUCUCUUAUUGACGCACCUGACUAGGGAUGCCAAGAUGCCGUCUCUGAGGUGGAUCGAGACCCUCGAGUCCAGGUACUUUGCACCAGUGUGGAGGAGUUUCAGACAUGAAAAGCUGAUUGAAGGCGCAAAAUCCGCAUGGCAAACAUGCUGGUAGACAGACGAACCAUAGAAGCAGCCGUUGGUAACGACCAAACUCUCCGACGAUGGGCAACAGAUCGUCAAGGUCGAAUCCAUCCUGUGGCAAAGUUUGUGAGAGAGUCGAAGCAGUGAUGACUUACAAGUUCAAUGAUGGCAAGCAAUCGGGCUACCAGAGGAAAUUAAAGUGGCUAAACAUGUCAAAAUGGUAUUUUGGUAUUUUGGCUCAGACUAUGUAUUGCGAGCGACUUGCAAGAUUUUGCAGGAUACCUGGAUUUUGUUUGCAUUUUAAUCAGUUCAGGAAAAGUAAUAAUUGUAAGGUGAUCUUUACCAUUUACCAACUUGGCGAAUGGAACUGCUGAGCAUUGAAAAUUGGCAUACAACAAAUUCAGGGAUAUUUUGGCACCUAUAUCUGGUAAGCGUGUAGAGGUGUAAUAAGGUGUGUUAUAAACCAAUUUAUGUCACAUGAGCCUACUAGUUUUAGCAAACUUUGUUAUCACACCAGACCACCGAAUGGAUAGACGAAAAAAAUUUCUGUACGAAUAAACUGAGUGAGAUUUAGAUGCAUACUCACGUCGUCGUCGUCGACACGAUGUACUUGCCUGUCAUCUGGCCCCGAGUUAUCUUGAACAUUCAUACUGGCAAUGAUGAGGGGCUGGUCUCAGGCUACUGAAACCUCAAGGAAGCCUUAGAAAAAGGUCAGGUAACAUUUAUCAAGCUUAGUUGUGUCUCAUACGCGUGACAUACAAAAAAUUGCUAACGAAAACUGUGAUUGUGGCAGCCACAAAUUGUGGAUUCAGUAAAAAGGUGUCCAAGAGUUUCAGGAAAUAGUGGAACCGUGUCAAAUGGCAAUAGGGUGGCACUCUAGACGAAUGGCAACGAUGACGUAUAAAAAAAUAUCCAGUCGUGGGGUGGUUCUUCUAUAAUUGAAUUAGGCUGGAGAUGCUUAAGAGAGAUUAAGGGCACUGCUGACACACAGCGCAUUAGAGAGGAUUGAUUUCAUGCUCGGCCGUGUAGGCAUAAAUUCGUUCAACCACUCGGUUAUACGCAUUUACAACAAAACAGCGUACGAUAAAUGGAUUGGCUACCAUAAAAUUUAAUCCUAAUUUACCACACGUAAUUCGUCGUACUGACCUCUGGGGCAGUGCGCAACCACCCCACACUAUAGCGGCUGGUUUUCUUCUAUUCAAAAUAGUAAUUACAAUAUAAUUCACCCUACAAAAUGCAGGUUACAUUUAAGGACAGCUUGUCAAGCUGCCGAGUUGAAAUCGAUUAGUUGAACAGCAUGGUGAAGGAAUUUUAGGGCUUUAUAUGCAGAUAUUAUACAGGUGAUGCACAUCUUUUCAGCAUCAGGAUGCUACAAAUAAUGGCUAAGGCCUAAACGCUUCAAUAUUCCAGUGUUUUCUGACGAAUUUGAUUUCAUCCCGGUAUUGCCAAGUUAUCCUACUUCUAGAAAUCUCAAAGGACCUCUAAGUGAUUGGCGCAUUUCAUACUAUUGGAUGCAAAAUUUUUAUUCGUUCUUUCGUAUCAUUUACACCCGCCACGCCACCAUUGAUGCAAUGUAAUUCAUUCAUUUAUUACUCUCACUAUGAAAUUCUUUCAGGCUGCACCCGUGCACAUCAUACAAUCUGGAAAUAAUUAUUUAUUUGGAUAAUUUUAGCAGUCUACAGUGAAAUUAUCAAGCUUUUGACUAUCGAUACAUAAUCUUGAAAUUCCGAAUCAAUACUCACAAAAAACAAAGCUCCAUACAGACUCAAUAUACGUAAAAGUGAAAUUAUCGGAGCCAGAUUGCCUUGGCCCAUCAAUUCCAUGUUUUUUUACAUUCCACGAGUAGGCAUACAGUCGUCCAUUUAAUUGCAGAUGAUACAAAAGUUUACAUCAAUACAAAACUGAACUGUCGAUUGGCAGAACGAAGAGUAUGCAAGGGGAAAUUUUAUUUUCAGUGACUGUGAGGUAAGAACUCGUGUACCUGUAAGUAGUAAUAGUGAUACAUAGCUCUUGAUAAAGAUCCAUCGACAAUUCGAUAGAUGGGAUGCCAAAUUCAUGGUAAAAAUGACGCUAUACUUUUAUUAGUUACAUGUUUUUAUUCAGAAUCCAUAUGGGAGGUACCCACUGUUCUUUGAUUAUUCACUCGGUAAAUUUUUUUUUCUUUAACCCAAUUUAGCAACUUAAAUCACUGAUGAAAAAAGAAACAAUUACCACAGAGUGCCAAAUAUCGCUUCACGACGUAGAAAAGUGCCAUACGAAAGUCAGUUUAAUAAUCGUAUUGAUAUAGGUAUUGUUGGAGUACACGUGGAAAUAAUCGAUUACCUGAUCUGAUCAUAAGCACAGACGUUUUUAAGUGCUUGAAGUAAGGACUCAGAUGAUCCAAUAAUAACAAUUGUCAUUUAGGUGUAUUUUUAGUAUGUAACAAUCAAAAACAACACAUAUAUUUCAAGACAAGGGCCAAGUUUGCCGAGCCUAUAACAUCAACAAAUGUUAUAUCUGCUCGUACAAGAUUUGGCAGGUUUCCUGAGUAAUAAUUUUGUGUCACGUUAUAUAUUCUUGGUUUCAAUAAACAUAAACUAAAGUGGAUGAGAGCUAUUACAAAGAGAAAACAGGGAGUAAUAAAAGAAGAUGUAAUAAAUAUA